UUCAAUGUUUGACCAUUCGUCUUAUUUAAAUUUUUGUUGAUUAAUAUUUUUAUUAUUACUAGAUGAUAAAAUAUAAAUAGUACUUUAUACGUGACUAAUUUUUUUUAAGUUUUUAUAUAAAUUUUUUAAAUAAGACGGAUGGUCAAACGUUGGACACGAAAAAAC
rnacentral:pre_miRNA from 1 species